CCUACGGGAGGCAGCAGUGGGGAAUCUUGCGCAAUGGGCGAAAGCCUGACGCAGCGACGCCGCGUGAGUGAUGAAGGCCCUCGGGUUGUAAAGCUCUGUGGAGAGAGACGAAUAAGGGUUGGCUAAUAUCCAACUCGAUGACGGUAUCUUUUUAGCAAGCACCGGCUAACUCUGUGCCAGCAGCCGCGGUAAU
rnacentral:rRNA from 1 species